GGCUUCUUUCCGAAAACAGUCGCACCUCCCCCUCCCGUCGUUUCAUUCAAAAAAAAAAAAAAACAUCGCAACCCUCCCGUACAUCGGCGCCGCUACCUGUCUCCGGACCCCGUCCGCGCCUCCGCUCCAUCCCGGUGUGCUGCCUCUCCCCAUCCCCGGCUACCGUCCGCACCUCCGCUGCUCCGUCCCCGGCCGCCGCGCCGUCCGCAGGCUGCCGGCGGCUCUGAUCCGUCAUGUCCCCCACCGGAUCGGGUUACGGGACGCCUCCCCCGACCCCGACGCACCACGGCUCGCCGCCGGCCGCCACCGCCGAGAUCCAGUGGACACGCCCGCCACGGACACCCCCGAGACGCGGGGCUCUCGCUGCCCCGCCGCUGCGCCACAAACCCAGACGCGCGAGGUGGAGAUCCGUGCCAGGAGGCUCCUCCGUCCUCCCCCUCGCUCUCCGUCCUCCAAGAUCCGGGCGCCUCCGGCCUCCCUCGUGCUCCAUGGCUCUCCGUGCGAGGUCCACGGCCCACCGGGCCGACGACCAAGAAUCGUGCCGUCGAUCGACCGUCGAUCGUCCGGACCGCUGCUUCCACCUCAAUCGUUGGCUUCUGGCAGAUCCUCGUAGACAUCUAGAAGCAGAUCCUACUGCUACACUGCAGUACCCAACGUUGAAGGAACUGAGCAUCAUCGACAGGCUUAAGUUCAUGGCAUUUGUCCUCGGCUGUCACCAGAUUGCCCACCCGCGCUUAGGAUUUCUGCUCUACUCCAAGGUUGCCGCUUCUUACUACUGAUCUCCUGCUAUUCGUGUCAUUGUGAUUAUUUGUUAGAGUGCUUCCCUAUGGCCUAUACAGUUUGGUUUUUGUUUGGCGUUGGACAUGGGAUUGAGGCAAAGAUGUUAUUAGGAUUUUAUUUAGAUAUAAGUAUAGUCUGGAAGCUCAAGAGAAAAUGUCAACUCUAUUCCGUUCAGUAAAUCCUACUAAUUCAGUAGUCCUAAUGGCAGGUUUUAUAUCAUGUAGGCGUCCCUUUCUGUCUAAAUUAAACCAUAAGAAAUAUCAAUGCAAUGCCUUGAUAUUUAGACAGCAUGUGCAUGCUAUGAAAUAUCAAUUCACUGUGAAGGGGAGGAGCGCAUGUGCAUGGUCAGCCUGUGUGCAGUUGGUCAAUAUCAAUGAAAUAUGCUAUGAAAUAUCAAUUCACUGUGUGCAGUUGGUCAAUUCACUGUAAACUUGGAUUAGAGGCAGGAACUGAAGCAAAAAAUGUUUAUCAUGUUGGGCAAGUCGUCAAAUGUAGAAUUAUCAUUGUGUUCCCUGCUUCAAGGAGAAUAAAUGUUAGUUUCAUCGUAUCUCAUAAUAGCAAGGAACAUGGCAUUGCAUCUCAUACUUGGGAAAUGGAAGAUCAGAUCUAAAGUGUGGUUAUCUCAUUCUCAUAUCAUGCUGAGGCACUAGCAAGGGGAAUUGUUCUUGUCGGUGCCGAACUGCUGAUGAGGAGAUCCUCGCACCUGUUCUGCCACUGCACCAAUGAGCACUUCCCUACAUAUUCCGUGUGGCUAUCCGACAAGGGGAUCCGCAACUGCACUUUUGUGCUGACCAAAGGUAAGGCUUCCUUUCCUCUUCUUCUUUCCCCUGCCAUGGGUAUGGAUCAAUGAGUGCUUCCCAUUUGUUCUUUCUGAUUUUUAACACAUAAUAAAUGUUGUUGAAAUUUAUUUGGUAACCUACUGAAUCUGAAUCCAUUGCUCAUGUCUAAUUAUUGCAUUGGUUUUCCAAUACAUGUAUGCUGUUGAAGAAAAAAGAAAUAGGAAUAAUUUGUUUUGUUCUUCCUUAUUCCCACCUUAAAAUGAGUUUAAUUAACUUUGUACCACAUAGAUUUUUAGGGACAAAGGGUGAGAACUCAGGGCUCCAAAAAUGUUAGGGAAAAAUGCUGACAACUUUGGAAUGUGCCAGUCCGUACAUCUUUUUCACUAUUGUUUUUGAGACAUGAGAUUAUGAUUUCAUAAAUCUUGUGUGUUUCUUUCUACUGCCAUUGCUGAUCAGAUUCUUUGUCACGGCAUUCAGAAGUGUUGGCGGGCCUGCAGGUGAGUAGUAAAUGCAUUAAUGCUGUUUGCAGUGUGUACUGUGUAGCACUGUAGCCUAUGUUGAUCCUUGGUGUUGUUUCCCCUAGCUGCAGGUGUGUUUUUGUUUGCAGUGGUAUUUGUUAGGGUAGGGUCGGCAAGUUCCAUAGAGUAGAAUUUGAUUCACGAUUAAUAAGAAUAGCUCGUGUGCUUGGAGGGAUUUCCGGGUCAAAUAAAAAAAAUCUAUAGACUUUCUUUUAGCUAACUAGCAUUGACCAUGCAAGAAGAUUGGCGUUGUUUUUCUCUAGCUUGUUGUUGAUGAAGGUUAGCAUAUUUCCUCGAUUUUCUGAGUAAGAAAAGAAAAUUUGUGACAUACAAAACAUCUUUUCCUUGGGGACUGGAGGAACUGACAAACAGUGCAGAUACUACUUGGUUAUAUCUAGUGUACUUAAGAAUGCGAGUUGGUUUUUGACUACCUUGUUUGGUUAACAUUUUAUAAUAGAGGAAAUGCAGUAAUACUAUUAUGGUUGUACUCAAAACUUUGAUGCAUUUUGCUUUGCCACCAGGGCUGGGCUUUGGGUGGAGAACAAGCUCAGACAGGACGUAGAUAUUCACAUGAAUGAAUGCUCAUCUUCGGUGAUGGUGGUUUCAUUUUACCACGAUAAACAUACCAUAAAAAUCUGGAUGUUAUAGAGUAAUAGCUAGCUUGACAAUGUUUAUGAAAUAGCUAGAGUGAAAGUGUUUAUGUCAUUAUUUAAAAUCUAUAUAUUGGUUAGUUGUGUUUAUAGUUAAUGCAGAUAGAUGUUUUUUUCUGGUUAUAUAUAUCUUAUUACGGAAUCUUAAAAUAAUUUCAGGUAGUCUAAUGGAUACGUAUGGAAACAUCAAUAAGCUUUGUGCAGGAUCAUGUUCUUGAAGAUUGCAUGGUGGUGUUGAACCAGGAUCAGAGGACCCGGUAUGGGAAGGUACGGUGGCCGCCAUACCUUCAUUUUGUAACAAGUAACUCAGGACUUCGACUGUUUGUCGCUGGCGCAUGGGAGCUCCAACUCCAACAUUUUGAGCAGAGAAACAGGGUGCAGGGAGGAAGAAAAACAGUAUUGGACUAUGUGAACCGUUGUGUGCGCUGAACUAAGCUGACGAAUGGGCUCUUUUUUGUUCUGUACAUCUAUGUUCUGUACCUCUAUGUUCUAUGGAUACGUAUGGAAACAUCAAUAAGCUCUGUGCUUGAUGGAUUAUUACAUUUUGAAAUGUAUAUUACAUACUACUUUUAAUUUGAAUCUUAAUCUUUCGACAAA